GGCCCUAGUUUGGAAUAUAACCCAUUAAAAAUGCAUCACCAAAACGAUGUGAUAGUCAAACUACACGUAAUAACAGCUCUUGAAAGUAUGAACCAGGUAAAACUACGUCUGAUCAUUUUUCUCCAUUAUAAAACAUAAACCUUUACAUGAAUAAUAUCAACAGAUACCAAUUACAAUUUCUCCUAUUUAUAAAAUCCUAGCAAUCGG
rnacentral:lncRNA from 1 species